UACGAAGGGGGCUAGCGUUGCUCGGAAUUACUGGGCGUAAAGGGUGCGUAGGCGGUUCGUUAAGUCUGUCGUGAAAUCCCCGGGCUCAACCUGGGAAUGGCGAUGGAUACUGGCGAGCUAGAGUGUGUCAGAGGAUGGUGGAAUUCCCGGUGUAGCGGUGAAAUGCGUAGAUAUCGGAAGGAACACCUGUGGCGAAAGCGGCUCACUGGACCAUAACUGACGCUGAGGCACGAAAGCUAGGGGAGCAAACAGG
rnacentral:rRNA from 1 species